rnacentral:rRNA from 1 species
AUUGAACGCUGGCGGCAGGCCUAACACAUGCAAGUCGAGCGGAUGAAGGGAGCUUGCUCCUGGAUUCAGCGGCGGACGGGUGAGUAAUGCCUAGGAAUCUGCCUGGUAGUGGGGGAUAACGUCCGGAAACGGGCGCUAAUACCGCAUACGUCCUGAGGGAGAAAGUGGGGGAUCUUCGGACCUCACGCUAUCAGAUGAGCCUAGGUCGGAUUAGCUAGUUGGUGGGGUAAAGGCCUACCAAGGCGACGAUCCGUAACUGGUCUGAGAGGAUGAUCAGUCACACUGGAACUGAGACACGGUCCAGACUCCUACGGGAGGCAGAAGUGGGGAAUAUUGGACAAUGGGCGAAAGCCUGAUCCAGCCAUGCCGCGUGUGUGAAGAAGGUCUUCGGAUUGUAAAGCACUUUAAGUUGGGAGGAAGGGCAGUAAGUUAAUACCUUGCUGUUUUGACGUUACCAACAGAAUAAGCACCGGCUAACUUCG